rnacentral:ncRNA from 1 species
CAUAGGCCGUGGCUUGGUUAAGCAAACGGAACCCACCGGAGCUGUAGCAAAACCGAGUCUUAAUUGGGCGAUUAACACCGCUUAUGGACCCAGACCUGGGUGAUUUAUCCAUGAUCAGGAUGAAGCUUGGAUGGACUGAUGUUAAAGAAUCAGUGGAUGAGCUGUGGUUAGGAAUGAAAUGUCACUCUAACCCAGAGCUAGCUAG